UCUCCGUAGGUGAACCUGCGGAGGGAUCAUUACAGAGUUCAUGCCCUACCGGGUAGAUCCCCCACCAUACGUUAUUAUUAAUUUGUUUCUUUGGCGGGCCGUUAGGCUCCGGCCCGACUACCGGCCCCGGCUGGUAAGCGCCCGCCAGAGGCCCCAAAACCCUGAAUAUUAGUGUCGUCUGAGUCCUAUAUAAUAGUUAAAACUUUCAACAACAGAUCUCUUGGUUCUG
rnacentral:misc_RNA from 1 species